AAGUCGUAACAAGGUUUCCGUAGGUGAACCUGCGGAAGGAUCAUUACAAAUCAGUAGCUUGCUACUGCGCUGGGGGAGACGGGAAAGUCCUGGCUGAAAAGUCGGUGUACCGGUACCUACACCCCUAUCAUACCCUUGUCUUUUGAGUACUUAUGUUUCCUUGGUAGGCUUGCCUGCCAAUAGGACAAACUUUAAACCUUUGUAAAUAUCAAUCAGCGUCUGAAAAAUAAUUAAUAAUUACAACUUUCAACAACGGAUCUCUUGGUUCUG
rnacentral:misc_RNA from 2 species